AAAAAGGUCUUCUUAAAGACCACCUUGAGCUAUUCUACAUAAGUAU
rfam:Musca domestica strain aabys unplaced genomic scaffold Scaffold18693, whole genome shotgun sequence.